GGCGCGGUAGCCAAGUGGUAAGGCCGAGGUCUGCAAAACCUCUAUCGCCGGUUCGAUUCCGGCCCGCGCCUCCA
rnacentral:tRNA from 1 species